AAAUAAUUACACAAUGAGAUUUUAGAUGAAUAAUCAUCAGUGAUGGGGAUAUAAUAACUAAUUGUGUAAAGGCAAAUACAAGAAUAACUAGAACAGUCUGGUAAGUUCAAGAAAAGU